GACGAACGCUGGCGGCGUGCUUAACACAUGCAAGUCGAACGGUAAGGCCCUUCGGGGUACACGAGUGGCGAACGGGUGAGUAACACGUGGGUGAUCUGCCCUGCACUUCGGGAUAAGGCUGGGAAACUGGGUCUAAUACCGGAUAGGACUCCGGACUGCAUGGUCUGGGGUGGAACGCCGUUGCGGUGUGGGAUGGGCCCGCGGCCUAUGAGCUUGUUGGUGUGGUGAUGGCCGAUCAAGGCGACGACGGGGAGCCGGCCUGAGAGGGUGACCGGCCACACUGGGACUGAGAUACGGCCCAGACUCCUACGGGAGGCAGCAGUGGGGAAUAUUGCACAAUGGGCGCAAGCCUGAUGCAGCGACGCCGCGUGAGGGAUGACGGCCUUCGGGUUGUAAACCUCUUUCAGCAUCGACGAAGCGAAAGUGACGGUAGGUGCAGAAGAAGGACCGGCCAACUACGUGCCAGCCGCCGCCGUAA
rnacentral:rRNA from 1 species